CAUGGUGGAACUAUUAAAGAAUUUCGGUCAUCGAUGGGGAUGCGUUCCAUUAGGUUGUUGGCGGGGUAACGGCCCACCAAGCCUUCGAUGGAUAGGGGUUCUGAGAGGAAGGUCCCCCACAUUGGAACUGAGACACGGUCCAAACUCCUACGGGAGGCAGCAGUGAGGAAUAUUGGUCAAUGGACGAGAGUCUGAACCAGCCAAGUAGCGUGAAGGAUGACUGCCCUAUGGGUUGUAAACUUCUUUUAUACGGGAAUGAAGUGAGGCACGUGUGCCUUUUUGUAUGUACCGUAUGAAUAAGGAUCGGCUAACUCCGUGCCAGCAGCCGCGGUAAUACGGAGGAUCCGAGCGUUAUCCGGAUUUAUUGGGUUUAAAGGGAGCGUAGGCGGACGCUUAAGUCAGUUGUGAAAGUUUGCGGCUCAACCGUAAAAUUGCAGUUGAUACUGGGUGUCUUGAGUACAGUAGAGGCAGGCGGAAUUCGUGGUGUAGCGGUGAAAUGCUUAGAUAUCACGAAGAACUCCGAUUGCGAAGGCAGCUUGCUGGACUGUAACUGACGCUGAUGCUCGAAAGUGUGGGUAUCAAACAGGAUUAGAUACCCUGGUAGUCCACACAGUAAACGAAGAAGACUCGCUGUUUGCGAUAUACAGUAAGCGGCCAAG
rnacentral:rRNA from 1 species